rnacentral:tRNA from 1 species
GCACCCGUAGCUCAGUUGGAUAGAGCGGCUGACUUCGGAUCAGCAGGUCGCGAGUUCGAGCCUUGCCGGGUGCA